AUUGUUUACCCCCGGCCGGGGCCAAGUCCCAGGGCUGCAGGAAGUCACUCCGCACAAUAGCAGCCUCCCUGGCAUCUGACCUUCUGGCCAUGUGACCUUGGACGAGUUCCUCAGCAUCUUCAGAUUCCAGGGCUUGGCUCAGUGCCCUUUGUAGAGCAAACGGUGUUUACCUCCAAGGCUCACUCUUCAGAGCUAAGUAUGAAGGCUGCUGAGAACCAGGAGAAGAAGGCAGGGGUCAGGAAGCUGGCAUGGCGAUGCCGCUCCCCCUGCAGCCGGCCCCAGCUGAGGUCCCCCUCUGCGGUGACCCAAGGGCUGACCUCAGCCAAACUUCUCGGCCAGGCUACUCCUGCCCAGCAGGGACAGAGGUCCCACAGCACCAGACAGGAGUGUCCUGAGAGACUGGCGAGGACAGCGCCCUGGGGACUGCGGCUCUGAUGUCCUGGCCUCCCUGGCUCCACCCCCUGCGGAAUCUCGUCUCUGGCCCCAGCUUUGGUUCCUGGCCUGGAAACCUGCCUGCUGUCCUCAGAGAUUUCAGCCUGUCUUGCGUUCCUUUGCCAUCUGCAGCCCCCUGCAGAGGAAGUAGGACAAUGAGCCUGUUUUCCCAGCACGGCAGCGGCCGGCGCGGUGCGGACUUUGUUUUCCAGCCCUGCUGCGCCCCACUCUGCUCCUCCUGGCCAAGGUCCGGGCAGGUCGGCCGCCCUCGCCCCUGCUUUUGCCUCUGCUCUGGCAGCUUCUCUGGCCAAGCUGAAGGUCCCUGCACCUUCACACCUUCCCUGAUCUCAGCGUCUGGGGCGGGCUGUCUUCAGGCGUGUGUCCCCAGGCUGUCCCCAAAAUGUUCCCAGCUUGAGGUUUGUGUGGAGGGGGCGGGCUCAGUCCCCAGGGCAGCAGGACACCAGCGGACGGGGGACACAGAGGGAGGCCUCAGGGCCCGGGGCGGUGCCUGCUCAGUGAGACGCAGAGUUGGAGCCCAGAGGGCCCUGAGCUUUAGCACCGCCCUAAGGUGGGGCCUCCCCCGCCCAUGGGAGGGUGCCCGCUCCUCCCGGUGCCCAGCUGUGGCUGCCCAGUCUGUGCCCUCUGUGUGUCCCCUGCCCCCGGACUGCCGGAGCUCAGAAGUGAGAAGAGUGAAGAUGUGUUGCGUCCAUGUGCCACCUCCCUGUGAGGACCGUGAUCAUGACAUGCGGCAGACACCUGCUAAUGAGAAUAAAAAUUAA
rnacentral:lncRNA from 1 species